CCGAUGCUCUGCGUUCUCUCACUGUUUUAUUUUUCUUUUUAUUUUAGGCUCCAGAGAGACCGAAUACUUUCUUCUUUGCCGUUCUCUCUGCUUCUCUCAAUUCUCAGAAUCCCCAACCCGAUGCUCUGCGAUCUCUCACUAUUUUAUUUUUCUUUUUAUUUUAGGCUCCAAAGAGACCGAAUACUCUUUCUUCUUUGCUGUUCUCUCUGCUUCUCUCAAUUCUCAGAAUCCCUAAACCAUAGCCCAUGGUCACUCUCUCACUCCUUCAAUGGCAAAAAGUGCCAGCCUCCGGCCGCCACCGUCAUAUAUCGCCAAAGCCACUACCAAUGCAGGAAGUGAAGAUGUGGAAAUUUGUGGUGCUUUGGUCAGCCAAAACUAAGUUACUGGUGAAGGAUCUGUCAAUUGCAUGCCACAAAACCUGCAUAAGUUUGCAUACUCCUAAUUUGGCUUUCAAUAUUGGUCAUUGUCCCUAGCAGGCGAUACAGCAAGACUUCUUUUGCAUCUCUCACGCCCACAUGAACCACAUUAAGGCUGAGGCCUUGGGAAUUGCUGAAUUCCCAAUACUAGGCUGCAUCAGGAAUAUCCAAGUUGGGGUCAAAGGUACAAUCUUUUCAUCAAGGAUUUUGAGGAGUAUAUAAAUUUAAUUCUAGAUGAUGCUGGAAAAGUCAACAUCAAGAGGAAGAGCAAAAAACUUUAGAUGGGUUCAUUUUCCUUUACUUUUAAUCUCCCAAAUGUACAUGCUUUGAACAUGGUACAUCUAUUUUGUUAUGGGUUGAUUACAUCAAAAAAAAAUGUAAAGGGUAAAUUCUUCUUAAGAGAUGCAACACAACAGCCACCUCUCUCUCUCUCUCUCGCAAUAAUGGAAAGUGAUGAUUUUAGCAAUGGUGUAAAUCGGCAUUAUGUUGCCUUUUCAAUUCCAUUAAGGUCUAGCAUCUUUGUUUACUGGCAAUGUUAGAAUUUAGAUACAUCUUGGACAUCAAGAAUGAUUAAUAUAAUUUAUGAAAGAUAUUUGAUUGAAUGAGUAUGAAAACUAUAUUUGUGUAAUUAAUUGUAUUGGAU